rnacentral:misc_RNA from 1 species
GAAAGAUUAAAAUGAGUGUCCUUUGCAUUUUCAAAUUAAAAUACCCACAUGGUGUUAGAUGCCCAAUUAAUUUGACUACUUUGAGAUUGGAAAUUUGAUGGAAUUUUCCAUUUUUAUCAUCAACAAUACAGUUGAAUUGUAAAUCCCUUUUAGCUUUCUUGAUGAAUUUACUUGGCUGUUUCCACGUUAAAGUCCACUUUGACUUCUAACAGCUCCCGAAUAAAAGUCCACUUGGGUUUGGAAAUCGAUCUUCUGCCUUUCCUUCUUCUCUUCUUACUGAUUCAUAGAGAUCAAGAAGAAAACACAAGGCACAGGUGCCAGCUAUGGGGAAGAUUUACAUCGUGGAAUCUGAAGACAAAGGUAUAGAUCUUGAUCUUUCCGGAUUUUUGAUAGUGGUUAUACUAGCUCUUGUGAUCAUGAUUGUUUGCAUCCCUCGUCCGCGAGGACGAAGGUGUUAUGCUGUAUAUCGUUGUUGAGAGGGAGAAUCUUCCAAAUAUGCUUUCUGUUUACUCUGUUUUCUGCACUUCUGGCGGUCAACUAGUGCAAGGAAACAAAAAUUUGAAUAUUUUCACUUUGUUGGAACAAUAAUCUUGUUUCUUUUAAUUUGUACUUGAGAAAAAAUGAUUAAUGAUACAUGCUUGUUUUGUUCUUAUUACUUAUUUCCAGCUUCCUUCUUGUUGUGGAGGAACUUCACCUUCAUUUUG